rnacentral:rRNA from 1 species
CCUACGGGUGGCAGCAGUGAGGAAUAUUGGUCAAUGGACGAGAGUCUGAACCAGCCAAGUAGCGUGAAGGAUGACUGCACUAUGGGUUGUAAACUUCUUUUAUCUGGGAAUAAAAUGUUCCACGUGUGGGAUUUUGUAUGUACCAUAUGAAUAAGGAUCGGCUAACUCCGUGCCAGCAGCCGCGGUAAUACGGAGGAUCCGAGCGUUAUCCGGAUUUAUUGGGUUUAAAGGGUGCGUAGGUGGAUUGUUAAGUCAGUUGUGAAAGUUUGCGGCUCAACCGUAAAAUUGCAGUUGAAACUGGCAGUCUUGAGUAGAGUAGAGGUGGGCGGAAUUCGUGGUGUAGCGGUGAAAUGCUUAGAUAUCACGAAGAACUCCGAUUGCGAAGGCAGUUCACUGGACUGCAACUGACACUGAGGCUCGAAAGUGUGGGUAUCAAACAGGAUUAGAUACCCCUGUAGUC